rnacentral:rRNA from 1 species
GAUGAACGCUAGCGACAGGCUUAACACAUGCAAGUCGAGGGGCAGCAUAGAAGUAGCAAUACUUUGGUGGCGACCGGCGCACGGGUGAGUAACGCGUAUGCAACCUACCUAUCAGAGGGGAAUAACCCGGCGAAAGUCGGACUAAUCCCGCAUAAAACAGGGGCACCGCAUGGUGAUAUUUGUUAAAGAAAUCCGCUGAUAGAUGGGCAUGCGUUCCAUUAGGUAGUUGGUGAGGUAACGGCUCACCAAGCCGACGAUGGAUAGGGGAACUGAGAGGUUGGUCCCCCACACUGGUACUGAGACACGGACCAGACUCCUACGGGAGGCAGAAGUGAGGAAUAUUGGUCAAUGGGCGGGAGCCUGAACCAGCCAAGUCGCGUGAAGGAAGAAGGAUCUAUGGUUCGUAAACUUCUUUUGCAGGGGAAUAAAGUGCAGGACGUGUCCUGUUUUGUAUGUACCCUGAGAAUAAGGAUCGGCUAACUCCGUGCCAGCCGCCGCCGUAA